rnacentral:rRNA from 1 species
AUACGGAGGGGGCUAGCGUUGUUCGGAAUUACUGGGCGUAAAGCGCGCGUAGGCGGGCUGGUCAGUCACGGGUGAAAUCCCGGGGCUCAACCCCGGAACUGCCUUUGAUACUGCCAGUCUAGAGGUCGAGAGAGGUGAGUGGAAUUCCGAGUGUAGAGGUGAAAUUCGUAGAUAUUCGGAGGAACACCAGUGGCGAAGGCGGCUCACUGGCUCGAUUCUGACGCUGAGGUACGAAAGCGUGGGUAGCAAACGGGAUUAGAAACCCCGGUAGUCC